UAUUUGGAAGGUUUAGAUUGGCGCCUAAAAAACAGAAAAAGGGCAAGUUUGGUGCGGCCAAAGGAGAAGGUGAUGAGGACAUCAAUACCAUUGUUACACCCACAGCCCCUACUGCUACAUAUACGGGACCAAUUACUAGAGCUCGCGCACGCCAAUUAAAUUAUCAGGUACUUUCGUUUCUUGGUAAUGAUUCUAAUGUUCAUGAGAAUAUGAUGCUGCCUAAAUUGGAUACAUUUGUUUUGCUUACAAAUGAAGGGCCUAGCUUGGAGAAGGAUGAACAUUGGAGCAAGAACAAGCAUGGAGAUGAUGCCAUGCGCAACGGGAACAAGAACGAAGUUACAAGUGAUGAUUUCAGGACAUUGAAGCCAGCAUAAUGGGUGCAUGAAGCCAUGGACGAAAUAUACAAGAUGCCACUUCAUAAAUUUCGUCCCGAGGCUAUUAUAGGUGCUGCGUCACCUUUUUAUUGGGCCAGGCCCAUGUAAUUUCGAAAUACAUAAGUAUAGGCUAUUUUUAGAGUCCGUAUGUGUGGGGAAACAAGAGAUAGGGUUGAUUUCGGACCCCUCCUGAUGAGGACAUCAAUACCAUUGUUACACCCACCGCCCCUACUGCUACAUAUACGGGACCAAUUACUAGAGCUCGCGCACGCCAAUUAAAUUAUCAGGUACUUUCGUUUCUUGGUAAUGAUUCUAAUGUUCAUGAGAAUAUGAUGCUGCCUAAAUUGGAUACAUUUGUUUUGCUUACAAAUGAAGGGCCUAGCUUGGAGAAGGAUGAACAUUGGAGCAAGAACAAGCAUGGAGAUGAUGCCAUGCGCAAGGGGAACAAGAACGGAGUUACAAGUGAUGAUUUCAGGACUUUGAAGCCACCAUAAUGGGUGCAUGAAGCCUUGGACGAAAUAUACAAGAUGCCACUUCAUAAAUUUCGUCCCGAGGCUAUUUUAGGUGCUGCGUCACCUUAUUAUUGGGCUAGGCCCAUGUAAUUUCGAAAUACAUAAGUAUAGGCUAUUUUUAGAGUCCGUAUGUGUGGGGAAACAAGAGAUAGGGUUGAUUUCGGACCCCUCCACCAAGGGCCACGAAAUUCCCCCCUCUUCCUCCAUAUAUACAGCCCUUAGGGCAUCGUUUAGACUUUGGGUUUUGUUUAGAUUAAAAGUUCGCCAUAGCUGCAACUUCGUGUACUUCGUUUGUGUUCAACGACCAGACAAAGGCGUCACAGAACCCCACCUUGAUCAAUAAAGCUUUCAUCUUAUAUUCGCAAUAUCCAGAUUGCAAUCUCAGUUUCUUGCUUGUUCUUCGUUUGCUCGCAGGAAACAGGCCCUCGUGGUCAGGUUGAUCGUGCUCCGGCGUGGUCAAUAACCUCUCGGAGUUGGUUUAGCGAUUGCUAAGGCGCGACGUCCUCGCACGUUCGUAGUCGGAUCGUCAAAGUCGACUUCCACCAAAGCGAUAUCCAUCAUCUCAUCGAAAGACGGGACACCUUUGCCUCUAUCAAGUGGUAUCAGAUUUCCAGGUUGCUCGGUGAGAUUUUACAGUUUUUCAUAGUUUAGAUCGAGUCUGUUCUUCAUACCUAUAGUCCACGAAAAAGCCACAAAAAAAAUUUAGGGUUAGUUCAUCAUAUCCGAACCAAUUUGAGCCUUUGCAUAAUCUUUUUAGGGUUUUGCUUUGUUGAAUUUGCGGUUGCAUCGUCGGUCUAGUUGCUGGUCUUAGAGUCUAGUCUUUUAGAGUUUCGAGUUCUGGUCAUAAGUUGUCGCGCCGCCGCCGCACCAUCAUCAUCGCCCCUGCCAUCUACCACCACCGCUCCGAAUCCGUAUCCAUAUACCACCACCAAUCCGUGUCCAUAUACCACCACCAAUCCGUGUCCAUAUACCACCACCGCUACCACCACCGCUGCCAUAUACCACCACCAUAUAUCCACCACCAAUCCGAGUUCCUUGCUUAUUAGGUUUGUUUUCGAGAUCCAUCUAGUUUCCGAUUCGUGUUUCCUUGCCGGAGUAGGUUUCGGAAAAAAAAAGAGUCGGGAAACCACGCUCCGUUUAGGCCCAAAAAAUUUCGAAAACGCAUUUUUCGAAAAAAUUUCUGGCUAUCCUAUUUUUAGGUGUUUCUGAGUGUUUUGAGACAGGUGCCAUUAUAGGAAGUUUUUUUUGACCCGUUUCCAGUUUUUGGGUCCGGGCAGUCGAAAAAAAAAAUUUGGUCGAAAAAAAAUUUCGUGCUCAUCCUGUCAGUUUGACCUAGGAAGAGUUUUGAGACACUCGCCAUUAUAGUGAUUUUUCGCAAAAAAAAGCAGCGCAAAAAGAAAGAGCGCAAAAAAAAGAGCGAAAAAAAAUUCAGAGUGUGCUUUUCCCUUCUUUACGUGCCGCGCCAUGAUUUUGUUGGUGUUCUAGGCUCGCGUCUCUAGCACAAUCUAGCCUAGGACCAGCAUAGUACCGUCGUUGAGCGUUUAUUCAACUUUGCAUCUCUGAAUUGAUUAUUGCUGACCCUUUUUGCUACCAUACUAUAAGCCUUCCCAGCUCCACAUACGUCUACGUCGUGUGUUUGACUCUCCCUGGUAAUCGCUCUAUCCAAGCUUUGAGAGUUUUUGACUACAACGGUUGCCGAUCACCGCCUACUGCUGGGUAAGAACAGGUAAGAAUUUGAGAUUUGCUUGACGGAUUUGUGAUACACCACCACCACUUCUUAGUAGUCUGUAGGAUCAUAUUCUUGUGUGUUUCUAUUGCUGCUAACCAUGCCAGGAUCACAAGCCGACGAGAUUGACUGGGAGAACUUAUCGAACAAGGAGCUUCAUGAUAAGUUUCAGCAAAUGAUGACUGAACAGGUACAAGAUGUGCUGAACAAUUUUGAAGAGGCCAUGGAGAAGAUCACUGGCCUUGAGAAGACGUUCGAAACAAAGCUCGAUAACAGAUUUAAUGAACUGCUUGCGCGUCUUCCACCACCGGCUGCACCUGUCGCACCUCUGCAACAACAACAACUACGCCCCCUUCCGAAUCAGUAUGGACGAGCACAGCGUGUUCCUAUUGAGCCAGGACAAAAUUCUGGUGCCGCUGCUACUGCUGUUGGUGCUUCUUUGGCUCCUGCUACUGUUGCUGCUGGUACCCAGGAGGAUGAUGAGUAUGCGGGCGAUUAUGAGGAUGAGGUUGAUCAAAAUCAGCACUACGUGCAGCCACCUGCACCACCACCAGCAGGUCGACCUCAGGUAUAUAUUCGUAAUGGUAGGCCUGCACCACCACCUCAGGUACGAGAUGAUGUCCAUAUUCCUAAACUGAAAUUGAAUAUUCCACCAUUUGAGGGUAGAUAUGUUCCUGAUAUAUAUCUUACUUGGGAGUUAGAAACUGAACAACGAUUUACAUGUUUACAAUAUCCUGAGGAGAGACGAGUUGCUGCUGCUGUUUGUGCUUUCACUAGUUUUGCAUGUGUAUGGUGGUCUGAACAUUGUAGAUUAUAUCCUGUUCCAACUACUUGGGCUGCUUUGAAAACUGCUAUGCGUACUCGUUGGGUUCCACCAUAUUAUCAACGUGAAUUGCUUCAAAAAUUACAGUGCUUAAGACAAGGAAAAAAUUCUGUAGAAGAAUAUUAUCAGGAAUUACAAACUGGCAUGAUUAGAUGUGGUAUUGUUGAGGAGAAUGAAGCUAUGCUUGCACGUUUUCUAGGUGGAUUAAAUAGAGAGAUUCAGACCAUUCUAGACUAUAAGGAGUAUACUAAUAUCAGUCGUUUAUUCCAUCUUGCUUGUAAAGCUGAACGUGAAGUGCAGGAUCGACAAGCAUUGGCGCGAACUAACUUUUCUGCAGGCCGACCUUCAUCAUGGACACCACAUGCAUCUUCUACUUCAACUGCACCAGCACCUCCAUCCGGUGCCACCUCCAGCCGUGAUACAAGAAAACAGGCACAACCACCAUUAUCUGCCAAGAGCGCACCUGCGGGGCCUGCACAGCGUUGUUCUUCUUCCAUGGCAUCAACAGGGCACACAAGUGAUAUUAUUUGUCGUCGUUGUAAGGGAGGAGGUCAUUAUGCGAGAGAAUGCAAAUCUCCGCGUGUGAUGAUUGCUACCGUGGAUGGUGGAUAUGAGUCCGCUAGUGACUAUGAUGAGGAGACAUUGGCUCUUAUUACACGUGAAGAACAUGGUGGAGAUGAUUCUGAUCAUGAGACGCAAUACAUGGCUCCUGAAGACGCUGACAGGUAUGAAUGUUUAGUUGCUCAACGUGUUUUGAGUGUGCAGGUCACACAAGCUGAGCAAAAUCAGAGGCACAAUUUGUUCCAUACCAAGGGAGUUGUGAAGGAACGUUCUGUGCGCGUCAUAAUAGACGGAGGGAGCUGCUACAACUUGGCUAGCAUGGAGAUGGUGGAGAAGCUUUCUCUCACCACAAGACCACAUCCACAUCCUUACUACAUCCAAUGGUUCAACAACAGCGGCAAGGUUAAGGUAACACGUACUGUUCGUGUGCAUUUUAGUACCUCUACAUAUGCUGAUUAUGUUGAUUGUGAUGUGGUACCUAUGCAAGCAUGUUCCUUAUUACUUGGUAGACCAUGGCAAUUUGAUAAAAAUUCUGUACACCAUGGUAGAAACAAUCACUAUACUCUUGUUCAUAAGGAUAAAAAUAUUACUUUGCUUCCUAUGACUCCUGAUUCCAUUUUGAAAGAUGAUAUUAAUAGAGCUCAUAAAGCAAAACAGGAGAAGAAUAAGAGUGAAAAUCAGAUUGUGGCAAAAGAAUUUGAGCAACAAAUGAAGCCUAAUAAUAAACCAUCUAGUGUUGCUUCUGAAAUUAAAUUGAGAAGUGCAUGUUUAUUUGCCACCAAAUCUGAUAUUGAUGAGCUAGAUUUCAGCAAAUCUGUUUGCUAUGCUUUUGUGUGCAAAGAGGCAUUAUUUUCAUUCGAGGACGUGCCUUCCUCUUUGCCUCCUGCUGUCACUAACAUUUUGCAGGAGUUCACUGACGUUUUUCCACAAGACGUGCCACCGGGAGUACCGCCUAUUCGAGGGAUUGAGCAUCAGAUUGACUUAAUUCCCGGUGCUUCACUGCCAAACCGUGCACCAUACCGUACCAAUCCAGAGGAGACGAAGGAGAUUAUGCGUCAAGUACAAGAGCUUCUCGACAAAGGUUAUAUACGCGAAUCCCUUAGUCUUUGUGCUGUUCCUAUUAUUCCAGUGCCGAAAAAGGAUGGUACAUCACGUAUGUGUGUUGAUUGUAGAGGCAUUAAUAAUAUUACUAUUCGUUAUCGUCAUCCUAUUCCUAGGCUAGAUGAUAUGCUUGAUGAAUUGAGUGGCUCUACAAUAUUCUCCAAAGUUGAUUUGCGUAGUGGCUACCAUCAAAUUCGUAUGAAACUGGGAGAUGAAUGGAAAACAGCAUUUAAAACUAUGUUUGGAUUAUAUGAGUGGUUAGUCAUGCCUUUUGGGUUAACUAAUGCACCUAGUACUUUCAUGAGAUUAAUGAACGAAGUUUUACGUGCUUUCAUUGGAUGAUUUGUGGUAGUUUACUUUGAUGACAUAUUGAUUUAUAGCAGAUCUUUGGAAGAACAUUUGGAACAUUUACGUGCUGUUUUUAUUGCUUUACGUGAUGCACGUUUGUUUGGUAACCUUGGGAAGUGCACCUUUUGCACCGACCGAGUAUCUUUUCUUGGCUAUGUUGUUACUCCACAGGGAAUUGAAGUUGAUAAAGCCAAGAUUGAAGCUAUUGAGAGUUGGCCGCAGCCCAAAAUGGUCACACACGUGAGGAGUUUUCUUGGCCUCGCUGGAUUCUAUAGGCGUUUUGUGAGAGAUUUCAGCACCAUUGCUGCACCUCUCAAUGAGCUUACAAAGAAAGAUGUGCCUUUUCUUUGGGGUACCGCACAGGAAGAAGCCUUCUCGGUAUUGAAAGAUAAGUUGACACAUGCUCCUUUACUCCAACUUCCUGAUUUUAAUAAGACUUUUGAGCUUGAAUGUGAUGCUAGUGGAAUUGGAUUAGGCGGUGUGUUAUUACAAGAUGGCAAACCUGUUGCAUACUUUUCUGAAAAAUUGAGUGGGCCAAGUCUGAAUUAUUCUACUUAUGAUAAAGAAUUAUAUGCUCUUGUUCGGACUUUAGAAACAUGGCAACAUUAUUUAUGGCCCAAAGAAUUUGUUAUACAUUCUGAUCAUGAAUCUUUGAAACAUAUUAAAAGUCAAGCUAAACUGAAUCAUAGACAUGCUAAAUGGGUUGAAUUCAUUGAGACUUUUCCUUAUGUCAUUAAACACAAGAAGGGAAAAGAAAAUGUUACUGCUGAUGCAUUGUCUCGCCGCUAUACUAUACCAUCAAAGAUCAAUAUGUGCAUGAUGCUGAUUUUAAAGAUGUAAUGCAGAAUUGUAAAGAAGGAAGAAUGUGGAACAACUUCGUCGUUAACGAUGGAUUUGUGUUUCGUGCUAACAAGCUAUGCAUUCCAGCUAGCUCCGUUCGUCUUUUGUUGUUGCAGGAGGCGCAUGGAGGAGGAUUAAUGGGACACUUUGGCGUGAAGAAGACGGAGGACGUACUUGCUACACAUUUCUUUUGGCCAAAGAUGAGACGGGAUGUUGAGCGUUUUAUUGCUCGCUGCACUACAUGUCAAAAAGCGAAGUCACGACUCAAUCCUCAUGGUUUAUAUAUGCCUUUGCCUGUACCUAGUGUUCCUUGGGAGGAUGUAUCUAUGGACUUUGUUUUAGGUUUACCUCGAACGAAGAAGGGGAGGGAUAGCAUAUUUGUUGUCGUGGAUAGAUUCUCGAAAAUGGCACACUUUAUACCAUGUCAUAAAAGCGAUGAUGCUGUUAAUGUUGCUGAUUUGUUCUUUCGUGAAAUUAUUCGCUUGCAUGGUGUGCCAAAUACUAUUGUUUCAGAUCGUGAUACUAAAUUUCUUAGCCACUUUUGGAGAUGAUUAUGGGCUAAGUUGGGGACUAAACUGCUUUUUAGUACUACUUGUCACCCCCAAACUGAUGGACAAACUGAAGUAGUCAAUAGAACGUUGUCUACUAUGCUUAGGGCUGUUUUGAAGAAUAAUAAGAAAAUGUGGGAGGAAUGCUUGCCUCAUAUUGAAUUUGCUUAUAAUCGUUCAUUGCAUUCUACUACUAAGAUGUGCCCUUUUGAAGUUGUGUAUGGUUUCCUACCUCGUGCACCUAUUGAUUUGUUGCCUCUUCCAUCUUCGGAGAAGGUUAAUUUUGAUGCUAAACAAUGUGCUGAAUUGAUUUUAAAAAUGCAUGAGUUAACUAAGGAAAACAUUCAGCGUAUGAAUGCUAAAUAUAAACUUGCCGGAGAUAAGGGUAGAAAACAUGUUGUGUUUGCACCUGGAGAUCUUGUUUGGUUACAUUUGCGUAAGGAUAGAUUUCCUGAUUUGCGCAAAUCAAAGCUAAUGCCAUGUGCUGAUGGUCCCUUUAUGGUGUUAGAGAAAAUAAAUGAUAAUGCAUAUAAACUUGAGCUGCCUGCAGAUUUUUGGGUUAGUCUCACUUUUAACAUUACAGAUUUGAAGCCUUAUUUGGGUGAGGAAGAUGAGUUUCCGUCGAGGACGACUUCAUUUCAAGAAGGGGAGGAUGAUGAGGACAUCAAUACCAUUGUUACACCCACAACCCCUAUUGCUACAUAUACGGGACCAAUUACUAGAGCUCGCGCACGCCAAUUAAAUUAUCAGGUACUUUCGUUUCUUGGUAAUGAUUCUAAUGUUCAUGAGAAUAUGAUGCUGCCUAAAUUGGAUACAUUUGUUUUGCUUACAAAUGAAGGGCCUAGCUUGGAGAAGGAUGAACAUUGGAGCAAGAACAAGCAUGGAGAUGAUGCCAUGCACAAGGGGAACAAGAACGGAGUUACAAGUGAUGAUUUCAGGACUUUGAAGCCACCAUAAUGGGUGCAUGAAGCCUUGGACGAAAUAUACAAGAUGCCACUUCAUAAAUUUCGUCCCGAGGCUAUUUUAGGUGCUGCGUCACCUUAUUAUUGGGCCAGGCCCAUGUAAUUUCGAAAUACAUAAGUAUAGGCUAUUUUUAGAGUCCGUAUGUGUGGGGAAACAAGAGAUAGGGUUGAUUUCGGACCCCUCCACCAAGGGCCACGAAAUUCCCCCCUCUUCCUCCAUAUAUACAGCCCUUAGGGCAUCGUUUAGACUUUGGGUUUUGUUUAGAUUAAAAGUUCGCCAUAGCUGCAACUUCGCGUACUUCGUUUGUGUUCAACGACCAGACAAAGGCGUCACAGAACCCCACCUUGAUCAAUAAAGCUUUCAUCUUAUAUUCGCAAUAUCCAGAUUGCAAUCUCAGUUUCUUGCUUGUUCUUCGUUUGCUCGCAGGAAACAGGCCCUCGUGGUUAGGUUGAUCGUGCUCCGGCGUGGUCAAUAACCUCUCGGAGUUGGUUUAGCGAUUGCUAAGGCGCGACGUCCUCGCACGUUCGUAGUCAGAUCGUCAAAGUCGACUUCCACCAAAGCGAUAUCCAUCAUCUCAUCGAAAGACGGGACACCUUUGCCUCUAUCACCUCCCCCAAGGGCCACGAAAUUCCCCCUCUCUUCCUCCAUAUAUACAGCCCUUAGGGCACCGUUUAGACUUUGGGUUUUGUUUAGAUUAAAAAGUUCGCCAUAGCUGCAACUUCGCGUACUUCGUUUGUGUUCAACGACCAGACAAAGGCGUCACAGAACCCCACCUUGAUCAAUAAAGCUUUCAUCUUAUAUUCGCAAUAUCCAGAUUGCAAUCUUAGUUUCUUGCUUGUUCUUCGUUUGCUCGCAGGAAACAGACCCUCGUGGUCAGGUUGAUCGUGCUCCGGCAUGGUCAAUAACCUCUCGGAGUUGGUUUAGCGAUUGCUAAGGCGCGACGUCCUCGCACGUUCGUAGUCGGAUCGUCAAAGUCGACUUCCACCAAAGCGAUAUCCAUCAUCUCAUCGAAAAACGGGACACCUUUGCCUCUAUCAAGUGCUAUCAGAUUUCCAGGUUGCUCGGUGAGAUUUUACAGUUUUUCGUAGUUUAGAUCGAGUCUGUUCUUCAUACCUAUAGUCCACGAAAAAGCCAAAAAAAAAACUAGGGUUAGUUCAUCCCAUCCGAACCAAUCUGAGCCUUGCAUAAUCUUUUCUGUAUUUGCUUUGUUGAAUUUGCGGUUGCAUCGUCGUGUCCAGUUGCUGGUCUUAGCGUCUAGUCUUUUAGAGUUUCGAGUUCUGUUCACAGGUUGUCACGUCACCGCUGGCAUAUAUCACCACCGCAUCAUCAUCGUCGCUGUUGCCAUAUACCACCACCACAUAUUCACCGCCAAUUUGAAUCCAUAUACGCCACCACAUAUCCGCCGCCAUCACACCAAUCCGAGUUCACCUGCAACAUAUAUCCGCCACCUGUCCGUGUUCCACCAGAUUCAUCUCCGCCACCAGUCUGAGUUCCACCAGAUUCAUCUCCGCCACCAGUCCUAGUCCGAGUCUAGUAAUUGUUGCAUUGUUCUCGAUUUCCAGAUCACGCGAUACUCCGAGUCGUGACAGAGAAGGACUCCCCAACUUCCGAGCCAUCUGCAGAAGAAAAAUAGUUCCAAUUUCAAAAAAAAACUAAGUCUGGAAAAUUCUGGCUAGGCAGUUUUUAGACCAUUUGUAGACUUUUUCGAAAAAAAUUUGUUGCGGAGCAAAAAAAAGGAAAAAAAAGUGCAAAAAAAAGAGAAAAAAAAAUUCAGAGUGUGCUCCUCCCUUGUUUACGUGCCGCGCCGUGAUUUUGUUGGUGUUCUAGGCUCGCGUCUCUAGCACAGUCUAGCCUAGGACCAGCACAGUAUCGUCGUUGAGCGUUGAUUCUACUUUGCAUCUCUGAAUUGAUUAUUGCUGACCCUUUUUGCUACCAUAUUAUAAGCCUUCCCAGCUCCACAUACAUCUACGUCGUGCGUUUGACUCUCCCUGGUAAUCGCUCUAUCCAAGCUUUGAGAGUUUUGACUACAACGGUUGCCGAUCACCGCCUGUUGCUGGGUAAGAACUGGUAAGAAUUUGAGUUUUGCUUGACGGAUUUGUGACACCCACCACCACCACUUGUUAGUAGUCUGUAGGAUCAUAUUCUUGUGUGUUUCUAUUGCUGCUAACCAUGCCAGGAUCAUAAGCCGACGAGAUUGACUGGGAGAAUUUAUCGAACAAGGAGCUUCAUGAUAAGUUUCAGCAAAUGAUGACUGAACAGGUGCAAGAUGUGCUGAACAAUUUUGAAGAGGCCAUGGAGAAGAUCACUGGCCUUGAGAAGAUGUUCGAAACAAAGCUCGAUCACAAGUUUAAUCAAUUGCUCGCGCGUCUUCCACCACCACCACCCGCUGCACCUAACGCACCUCUCCAACAACAACAACAACGACUACCUCCACAUCGCGAAACAGACCUUCGCCGAGCGAGUCGUGUUCCUCUUGCGUUUGGCCAAACUAUUGGUGCUGCUGUUGAUACUUUUGUGGCUCCUGCUGCUGAUGCGGAGGAGGAUGAUUAUGUGGGAGAUUAUGAGGAUGAGGUUGAUCAAAAUCAGCACUACGUGCAGCCACCUGCACCACCACCAGCAGGUCGACCUCAGGUAUAUAUUCGUAAUGGUAGGCCUGCACCACCACCUCAGGUACGAGAUGAUGUCCAUAUUCCUAAACUGAAAUUGAAUAUUCCACCAUUUGAGGGUAGAUAUGUUCCUGAUAUAUAUCUUACUUGGGAGUUAGAAACUGAACAACGAUUUACAUGUUUACAAUAUCCUGAGGAGAGACGAGUUGCUGCUGCUGUUUGUGCUUUCCCUAGUUUUGCAUGUGUAUGGUGGUCUGAACAUUGUAGAUUAUAUCCUAUUCCAACUACUUGGGCUGCUUCGAAAACUGCUAUGCGUACGCGUUGGGUUCCACCAUAUUAUCAACGUGAAUUGCUUCAAAAAUUGCAGCGUUUAAGACAAGGGAAAAAUUCUGUAGAAGAAUAUUAUCAGGAAUUACAAACUGGCAUGAUUAGAUGUGGUAUUGUUGAGGAGAAUGAAGCUAUGCUUGCACGUUUUCUGGGUGGAUUAAAUAGAGAGAUUCAGACCAUUCUAGACUAUAAGGAGUAUACUAGUAUCACUCGUUUAUUCCAUCUUGCUUGUAAAGCUGAACGUGAAGUGCAGGAUCGACAAGCAUUGGGGCGAACUAACUUUUCUGCAGGCCGACCUUCAUCAUGGACACCACGUGCAUCUUCUACUUCAACUGCACCAGCACCUCCAUCCGGUGCCACCUCCAGCCGUGAUACAAGAAAACAGGCACAACCACCAUUAUCUGCCAAGAGCGCACCUGCGGGGCCUGCACAGCGUUCUUCUUCUUCCAUGGCAUCAACAGGGCACACAAGUGAUAUUAUUUGUCGUCGUUGUAAGGGAGGAGGUCAUUAUGCGAGAGAAUGCAAAUCUCCGCGUGUGAUGAUUGCUACCGCGGAUGGUGGAUAUGAGUCUGCUAGUGACUAUGAUGAGGAGACUUUGGCUCUUAUUACACGUGAAGAACAUGGUGGAGAUGAUUCUGAUCAUGAGACGCAAUACAUGGCUUCUGAAGACGCUGACAGGUAUGAAUGUUUAGUUGCUCAACAUGUUUUGAGUGUGCAGGUCACACAAGCUGAGCAAAAUCAGAGGCACAAUUUGUUCCAUACCAAGGGAGUUGUGAAGGAACGUUCUGUGCACGUCAUAAUAGACGGAGGGAGCUGCAACAACUUGGCUAGCACGGAGAUGGUGGAGAAGCUUUCUCUCACCACAAGACCACAUUCACAUCCUUACUACAUCCAAUGGUUCAACAACAGCGGCAAGGUUAAGGUAACACGUACUGUUCGUGUGCAUUUUAGUAUCUCUACAUAUGCUGAUUAUGUUGAUUGUGAUGUGGUACCUAUGCAAGCAUGUUCCUUAUUACUUGGUAGACCAUGGCAAUUUGAUAAAAAUUCUGUACACCAUGGUAGAAACAAUCACUAUACUCUUGUUCAUAAGGAUAAAAAUAUUACUUUGCUUCCUAUGACUCCUGAUUCCAUUUUGAAAGAUGAUAUUAAUAGAGCUAAUAAAGCAAAACAGGAGAAGAAUAAGAGUGAAAAUCAGAUUGUGGCAAAAGAAUUUGAGCAACAAAUGAAGCCUAAUAAUAAACCAUCUAGUGUUGCUUCUGAAAUUAAAUUGAAAAGUGCAUGUUUAUUUGCCACCAAAUCUGAUAUUGAUGAGCUAGAUUUUAGCAAAUCUGUUUGCUAUGCUUUUGUGUGCAAAGAGGCAUUAUUUUCAUUCGAGGACGUGCCUUCCACUUUGCCUCCUGCUGUCACUAACAUUUUGCAGGAGUUCGCUGACGUUUUUCCACAAGACGUGCCACCGGGAUUACCGCCUAUUCGAGGGAUUGAGCAUCAGAUUGACUUAAUUCCCGGUGCUUCACUGCCAAACCGUGCACCAUACCGUACCAAUCCAGAGGAGACGAAGGAGAUUAUGCGUCAAGUACAAGAGCUUCUCGACAAAGGUUAUAUACGCGAAUCCCUUAGUCCUUGUGCUGUUCCUAUUAUUCUAGUGCCGAAAAAGGAUGGUACAUCACGUAUGUGUGUUGAUUGUAGAGGCAUUAAUAAUAUUACUAUUCGUUAUCGUCAUCCUAUUCCUAGGCUAGAUGAUAUGCUUGAUGAAGUGAGUGGCUCUACAAUAUUCUCCAAAGUUGAUUUGCGUAGUGGCUACCAUCAAAUUCGUAUGAAAUUGGGAGAUGAAUGGAAAACAGCAUUUAAAACUAAGUUUGGAUUAUAUGAGUGGUUAGUCAUGCCUUUUGGGUUAACUAAUGCACCUAGUACUUUCAUGAGAUUAAUGAACGAAGUUUUACGUGCUUUCAUUGGACGAUUUGUGGUAGUUUACUUUGAUGACAUAUUGAUUUAUAGCAGAUCUUUGGAAGAACAUUUGGAUCAUUUACGUGCUGUUUUUAUUGCUCUACGUGAUGCACGUUUGUUUGGUAACCUUGGGAAGUGCACCUUUUGCACCGACCGAGUAUCUUUUCUUGGCUAUGUUGUUACUCCACAGGGAAUUGAAGUUGAUAAAGCCAAGAUUGAAGCUAUUGAGAGUUGGCCGCAGCCCAAAACGGUCACACAAGUGAGGAGUUUUCUUGGCCUCGCUGGAUUCUAUAGGCGUUUUGUGAGAGAUUUCAGCACCAUUGCUGCACCUCUCAAUGAGCUUACAAAGAAAGAUGUGCCUUUUCUUUGGGGUACUGCACAGGAAGAAGCCUUCACGGUAUUGAAAGAUAAGUUGACACAUGCUCCUUUACUCCAACUUCCUGAUUUUAAUAAGACUUUUGAGCUUGAAUGUGAUGCUAGUGGAAUUGGAUUAGGAGGUGUGUUAUUACAAGAUGGCAAACCUGUUGCAUACUUUUCUGAAAAAUUGAGUGGGCCUAGUACUUGCUACACAUUUCUUUUGGCCAAAGAUGAGACGGGAUGUUGAGCGUUUUAUUGCUCGCUGCACUACAUGUCAAAAAGCUAAGUCACGACUCAAUCCUCAUGGUUUAUAUAUGCCUUUGCCUGUACCUAGUGUUCCUUGGGAGGAUAUAUCUAUGGACUUUGUUUUAGGUUUACCUCGAACAAAGAAGGGGAGGGAUAGCAUAUUUGUUGUCGUGGAUAGAUUCUCGAAAAUGGCACACUUUAUACCAUGUCAUAAAAGCGAUGAUGCUGUUAAUGUUGCUGAUUUGUUCUUUCAUGAAAUUAUUCGCUUGCAUGGUGUGCCAAAUACUAUUGUUUCAGAUCGUGAUACUAAAUUUCUUAGCCACUUUUGGAGAUGUUUAUGGGCUAAGUUGGGGACUAAACUGCUUUUUAGUACUACUUGUCACCCCCAAACUGAUGGACAAACUGAAGUAGUCAAUAGAACGUUGUCUACUAUGCUUAGGGCUGUUUUGAAGAAUAAUAAGAAAAUGUGGGAGGAAUGCUUGCCUCAUAUUGAAUUUGCUUAUAAUCGUUCAUUGCAUUCUACUACUAAGAUGUGCCCUUUUGAAGUUGUGUAUGGUUUCCUAUCUCGUGCACCUAUUGAUUUGUUGCCUCUUCCACCUUCGGAGAAGGUUAAUUUUGAUGCUAAACAACGUGCUGAAUUGAUUUUAAAAAUGCAUGAGUUAACUAAGGAAAACAUUGAGCGCAUGAAUGCUAAAUAUAAACUUGCUGGAGAUAAGGGUAGAAAACAUGUUGUGUUUGCACCUGGAGAUCUUGUUUGGUUACAUUUGCGUAAGGAUAGAUUUCCUGAUUUGCGCAAAUCAAAGUUAAUGCCACGUGCUGAUGGUCCCUUUAAGGUGUUAGAGAAAAUAAAUGAUAAUGCAUAUAAACUUGAGCUGCCUGCAGAUUUUGGGGUUAGUCCCACUUUUAACAUUGCAGAUUUGAAGCCUUAUUUGGGUGAGGAAGAUGAACUUCCGUCGAGGACGACUUCAUUUCAAGAAGGGGAGGAUGAUGAGGACAUCAAUACAAUUGUUACACCCACAGCCCCUGCUGCUAUACAUACUGGACCAAUUACUAGAUCUCGUGCACGCCAACUAAAUUACCAGGUACUUUCGUUUCUUGGUAAUGAUUCUAAUGUUCAUGAGAAUAUGAUGCUGCCUAAAUUGGAUACAUUUGUUUUGCUUACAAAUGAAGGGCCUAGCUUGGAGAAGGAUGAACAUUGGAGCAAGAACAAGCAUGGAGAUGAUGGCAUGCGCAAGGGGAACAAGAACGGAGUUACAAGUGAUGAUUUCAGGACUUUGAAGCCACCAUAAUGGGUGCAUGAAGCCUUGGACGAAAUAUACAAGAUGCCACUUCAUAAAUUUCGUCCCGAGGCUAUUUUAGGUGCUGAGUCACCUUAUUAUUGGGCCAGGCCCAUGUAAUUUCGAAAUACAUAAGUAUAGGCUAUUUUUAGAGUCCGUAUGUGUGGGGAAACAAGAGAUAGGGUUGAUUUCGGACCCCUCCACCAAGGGCCACGAAAUUCCCCCCUCUUCCUCCAUAUAUACAGCCCUUAGGGCAUCGUUUAGACUUUGGGUUUUGUUUAGAUUAAAAGUUCGCCAUAGCUGCAACUUCGCGUACUUCGUUUGUGUUCAACGACCAGACAAAGGCGUCACAGAACCCCACCUUGAUCAAUAAAGCUUUCAUCUUAUAUUCGCAAUAUCCAGAUUGCAAUCUUAGUUUCUUGGUUGUUCUUCGUUUGCUCGCAGGAAACAGACCCUCGUGGUCAGGUUGAUCGUGCUCCGGCGUGGUCAAUAACCUCUCGGAGUUGGUUUAGCGAUUGCUAAGGCGCGACGUCCUCGCACGUUCGUAGUCGGAUCGUCAAAGUCGACUUCCACCAAAGCGAAAUCCACCAUCUCAUCGAAAGACGGGACACCUUUGCCUCUAUCACUCUUUGCCUCCUGCUGUCACUAACAUUUUGCAGGAGUUCGCUGACGUUUUUCCACAAGACGUGCCACCGGGAUUACCGCCUAUUCGAGGGAUUGAGCAUCAGAUUGACUUAAUUCCCGGUGCUUCACUGCCAAACCGUGCACCAUACCAUACCAAUCCAGAGGAGACGAAGGAGAUUAUGCGUCAAGUACAAGAGCUUCUCGACAAAGGUUAUAUACGCGAAUCCCUUAGUCCUUGUGCUGUUCCUAUUAUUCUAGUGCCGAAAAAGGAUGGUACAUCACGUAUGUGUGUUGAUUGUAGAGGCAUUAAUAAUAUUACUAUUCGUUAUCGUCAUCCUAUUCCUAGGCUAGAUGAUAUGCUUGAUGAAUUGAGUGGCUCUACAAUAUUCUCCAAAGUUGAUUUGCGUAGUGGCUACCAUCAAAUUCAUAUGAAAUUGGGAGAUGAAUGGAAAACAACAUUUAAAACUAAGUUUGGAUUAUAUGAGUGGUUAGUCAUGCCUUUUGGGUUAACUAAUGCACCUAGUACUUUCAUGAGAUUAAUGAACGAAGUUUUACGUGCUUUCAUUGGACGAUUUGUGGUAGUUUACUUUGAUGACAUAUUGAUUUAUAGCAGAUCUUUGGAGGAACAUUUGGAACAUUUACGUGCUGUUUUUAUUGCUCUACGUGAUGCACGUUUGUUUGGUAACCUUGGGAAGUGCACCUUUUGCACCGACCAAGUAUCUUUUCUUGGCUAUGUUGUUACUCCACAGGGAAUUGAAGUUGAUAAAGCCAAGAUUGAAGCUAUUGAGAGUUGGCCGCAGCCCAAAACGGUCACACAAGUGAGGAGUUUUCUUGGCCUCGCUGGAUACUAUAGGCGUUUUGUGAGAGAUUUCAGCACCAUUGCUGCACCUCUCAAUGAGCUUACAAAGAAAGAUGUGUCUUUUCUUUGGGGUACCGCACAGGAAGAAGCCUUCACGGUAUUGAAAGAUAAGUUGACACAUGCUCCUUUACUCCAACUUCCUGAUUUUAAUAAGACUUUUGAGCUUGAAUGUGAUGCUAGUGGAAUUGGAUUAGGAGGUGUGUUAUUACAAGAUGGCAAACCUGUUGCAUACUUUUCUGAAAAAUUGAGUGGGCCUAGUCUGAAUUAUUCUACUUAUGAUAAAGAAUUAUAUGCUCUUGUUCGGACUUUAGAAACAUGGCAACAUUAUUUAUGGCCCAAAGAAUUUGUUAUACAUUCUGAUCAUGAAUCUUUGAAACAUAUUAAAAGUCAAGCUAAACUGAAUCGUAGACAUGCUAAAUGGGUUGAAUUCAUUGAGACUUUCCCUUAUGUCAUUAAACACAAGAAGGGAAAAGAAAAUGUUAUUGCUGAUGCAUUGUCUCGUCGCUAUACUAUGCUUUCAAUACUUGACUUCAAAAUAUUUGGUUUGGAGACCAUCAAAGAUCAAUAUGUGCAUGAUGCUGAUUUUAAAGAUGUAAUGCAGAAUUGUAAAGAAGGAAGAAUGUGGAACAAGUUUGUUGUUAACGAUGGAUUUGUGUUUCGUGCUAACAAGCUAUGCAUUCCAGCUAGCUCCGUUCGUCUUUUGUUGUUGCAGGAGGCGCAUGGAGGAGGAUUAAUGGGACACUUUGGCGUGAAGAAGACGGAGGACGUACUUGCUACACAUUUCUUUUGGCCAAAGAUGAGACGGGAUGUUGAGCGUUUUAUUGCUCGCUGCACUACAUGUCAAAAAGCUAAGUCACGACUCAAUCCUCAUGGUUUAUAUAUGCCUUUGCCUGUACCUAGUGUUCCUUGAGAGGAUAUAUCUAUGGACUUUGUUUUAGGUUUACCUCGAACAAAGAAGGGGAGGGAUAGCAUAUUUGUUGUCGUGGAUAGAUUCUCGAAAAUGGCACACUUUAUACCAUGUCAUAAAAGCGAUGAUGCUGUUAAUGUUGCUGAUUUGUUCUUCCGUGAAAUUAUUCGCUUGCAUGGUGUGCCAAAUACUAUUGUUUCAGAUCGUGAUACUAAAUUUCUUAGCCACUUUUGGAGAUGUUUAUGGGCUAAGUUGGGGACUAAACUGCUCUUUAGUACUACUUGUCACCCCCAAACUGAUGGACAGACUGAAGUAGUCAAUAGAACAUUGUCUACUAUGCUUAGGGCUGUUUUGAAGAAUAAUAAGAAAAUGUGGGAGGAAUGCUUGCCUCAUAUUGAAUUUGCUUAUAAUCGUUCAUUGCAUUCUACUACUAAGAUGUGCCCUUUUGAAGUUGUGUAUGGUUUCCUACCUCAUGCACCUAUUGAUUUGUUGCCUCUUCCAUCUUCGGAGAAGGUUAAUUUUGAUGCUAAACAACGUGCUGAAUUGAUUUUAAAAAUGCAUGAGUUAACUAAGGAAAACAUUGAGCGCAUGAAUGCUAAAUAUAAACUUGCGGGAGAUAAGGGUAGAAAACAUGUUGUGUUUGCACCUGGAGAUCUUGUUUGGUUACAUUUGCGUAAGGAUAGAUUUCCUGAUUUGCGCAAAUCAAAGUUAAUGCCACGUGCUGAUGGUCCCUUUAAGGUGUUAGAGAAAAUAAAUGAUAAUGCAUAUAAACUUGAGCUGCCUGUAGAUUUUGGGGUUAGUCCCACUUUUAACAUUGCAGAUUUGAAGCCUUAUUUGGGUGAGGAAGAUGAACUUCCGUCGAGGACGACUUCAUUUCAAGAAGGGGAGGAUGAUGAGGACAUCAAUACAAUUGUUACACCCACAGCCCCUGCUGCUAUACAUACUGGACCAAUUACUAGAGCUCGUGCACGCCAACUAAAUUACCAGGUACUUUCGUUUCUUUGUAAUGAUUCUAAUGUUCAUGAGAAUAUGAUGCUGCCUAAAUUGGAUACAUUUGUUUUGCUUACAAAUGAAGGGCCUAGCUUGGAGAAGGAUGAACAUUGGAGCAAGAACAAGCAUGGAGAUGAUGGCAUGCGCAAGGGGAACAAGAACGGAGUUACAAGUGAUGAUUUCAGGACUUUGAAGCCACCAUAAUGGGUGCAUGAAGCCUUGGACGAAAUAUACAAGAUGCCACUUCAUAAAUUUCGUCCCGAGGCUAUUUUAGGUGCUGCGUCACCUUAUUAUUGGGCCAGGCCCAUGUAAUUUCGAAAUACGUAAGUAUAGGCUAUUUUUAGAGUCCGUAUGUGUGGGGAAACAAGAGAUAGGGUUGAUUUCGGACCCCUCCACCAAGGGCCACGAAAUUCCCCCCUCUUCCUCCAUAUAUACAGCCCUUAGGGCAUCGUUUAGACUUUGGGUUUUGUUUAGAUUAAAAGUUCGCCAUAGCUGCAACUUCGCGUACUUCGUUUGUGUUCAACGACCAGACAAAGGCGUCACAAAACCCCACCUUGAUCAAUAAAGCUUUCAUCUUAUAUUCGCAAUAUCCAGAUUGCAAUCUUAGUUUCUUGCUUGUUCUUCGUUUGCUCGCAGGAAACAGACCCUCGUGGUCAGGUUGAUCGUGCUCCGGCGUGGUCAAUAACCUCUCGGAGUUGGUUUAGCGAUUGCUAAGGCGCGACGUCCUCGCACGUUCGUAGUCGGAUCGUCAAAGUCGACUUCCACCAAAGCGAAAUCCACCAUCUCAUCGAAAGACGGGACACCUUUGCCUCUAUCAAGGAAGAAUGUGGAACAAGUUUGUUGUUAACGAUGGAUUUGUGUUUCGUGCUAACAAGCUAUGCAUUCCAGCUAGCUCCGUUCGUCUUUUGUUGUUGCAGGAGGCGCAUGGAGGAGGAUUAAUGGGACAUUUUGGCGUGAAGAAGACGGAGGACGUACUUGCUACACAUUUCUUUUGGCCAAAGAUGAGACGGGAUGUUGAGCGUUUUAUUGCUCGCUGCACUACAUGUCAAAAAGCUAAGUCACGACUCAAUCCUCAUGGUUUAUAUAUGCCUUUGCCUGUACCUAGUGUUCCUUGGGAGGAUAUAUCUAUGGACUUUGUUUUAGGUUUACCUCGAACAAAGAAGGGGAGGGAUAGCAUAUUUGUUGUCGUGGAUAGAUUCUCGAAAAUGGCACACUUUAUACCAUGUCAUAAAAGCGAUGAUGCUGUUAAUGUUGCUGAUUUGUUCUUUCGUGAAAUUAUUCGCUUGCAUGGUGUGCCAAAUACUAUUGUUUUAGAUCAUGAUACUAAAUUUCUUAGCCACUUUUGGAGAUGUUUAUGGGCUAAGUUGGGGACUAAACUGCUUUUUAGUACUACUUUUCACCCCCAAACUGAUGGACAAACUGAAGUAGUCAAUAGAACGUUGUCUACUAUGCUUAGGGCUGUUUUGAAGAAUAAUAAGAAAAUGUGGGAGGAAUGCUUGCCUCAUAUUGAAUUUGCUUAUAAUCGUUCAUUGCAUUCUACUACUAAGAUGUGCCCUUUUGAAGUUGUGUAUGGUUUCCUACCUCGUGCACCUAUUGAUUUGUUGCCUCUUCCAUCUUCGGAGAAGGUUAAUUUUGAUGCUAAACAACGUGCUGAAUUGAUUUUAAAAAUGCAUGAGUUAACUAAGGAAAACAUUGAGCGCAUGAAUGCUAAAUAUAAACUUGCUGGAGAUAAGGGUAGAAAACAUGUUGUGUUUGCACCUGGAGAUCUUGUUUGGUUACAUUUGCGUAAGGAUAGAUUUCCUGAUUUGCGCAAAUCAAAGUUAAUGCCACAUGCUGAUGGUCCCUUUAAGGUGUUAGAGAAAAUAAAUGAUAAUGCAUAUAAACUUGAGCUACCUGCAGAUUUUGGGGUUAGUCCCACUUUUAACAUUGCAGAUUUGAAGCCUUAUUUGGGUGAGGAAGAUGAACUUCCGUCGAGGACGACUUCAUUUCAAGAAGGGGAGGAUGAUGAGGACAGCAAUACAAUUGUUACACCCACAGCCCCUGCUGCUAUACAUACUGGACCAAUUACUAGAGCUCGUGCACGCCAACUAAAUUACCAGGUACUUUCGUUUCUUGGUAAUGAUUCUAAUGUUCAUGAGAAUAUGAUGCUGCCUAAAUUGGAUACAUUUGUUUUGCUUACAAAUGAAGGGCCUAGCUUGGAGAAGGAUGAACAUUGGAGCAAGAACAAGCAUGGAGAUGAUGGCAUGCGCAAGGGGAACAAGAACGGAGUUACAAGUGAUGAUUUCAGGACUUUGAAGCCACCAUAAUGGGUGCAUGAAGCCUUGGACGAAAUAUACAAGAUGUCACUUCAUAAAUUUCGUCCCGAGGCUAUUUUAGGUGCUGCGUCACCUUAUUAUUGGGCCAGGCCCAUGUAAUUUCGAAAUACAUAAGUAUAGGCUAUUUUUAGAGUCCGUAUGUGUGGGGAAACACGAGAUAGGGUUGAUUUCGGACCCCUCCACCAAGGGCCACGAAAUUCCCCCCCUCUUCCUCCAUAUAUACAGCCCUUAGGGCAUCGUUUAGACUUUGGGUUUUGUUUAGAUUAAAAGUUCGCCAUAGCUGCAACUUCGCGUACUUCGUUUGUGUUCAACGACCAGACAAAGGCGUCACAGAACCCCACCUUGAUCAAUAAAGCUUUCAUCUUAUAUUCGCAAUAUCCAGAUUGCAAUCUUAGUUUCUUGCUUGUUCUUCGUUUGCUCGCAGGAAACAGACCCUCGUGGUCAGGUUGAUCGUGCUCCGGCGUGGUCAAUAACCUCUCGGAGUUGGUUUAGCGAUUGCUAAGGCGCGACGUCCUCGCACUUUCGUAGUCGGAUCGUCAAAGUCGACUUCCACCAAAGCGAUAUCCAUCAUCUCAUCGAAAGACGGGACACCUCCGCCUCUAUCAUCGUUGAACACAAACGAAGUACGCGAAGUUGCAGCUAUGGCGAACUUUUAAUCUAAACAAAACCCAAAGUCUAAACGAUGCCUAAGGGCUGUAUAUAUGGAGGAAGAGGGGGGAAUUUCGUGGCCCUUGGUGGAGGGGUCCGAAAUCAACCCUAUCUCUUGUUUCCCCACACAUACGGACUCUAAAAAUAGCCUAUACUUACGUAUUUCGAAAUUACAUGGGCCUGGCCCAAUAAUAAGGUGACGCAGCACCUAAAAUAGCCUCGGGACGAAAUUUAUGAAGUGGCAUCUUGUAUAUUUCGUCCAAGGCUUCAUGCACCCAUUAUGGUGGUUCAAAGUCCUGAAAUCAUCAGUUGUAACUCCUUCUUGUUUCCCUUGCGCAUGCCAUCAUCUCCAUGCUUGUUCUUGCUCCAAUGUUCAUCCUUCUCCCAGCUAGGCCCUUCAUUUGUAAGCAAAACAAAUGUAUCCAAUUUAGGCAGCAUCAUAUUCUCAUGAACAUUAGAAUCAUUACCAAGAAACGAAAGUACCUGGUAAUUUAGUUGGCGUGCACGAGCUCUAGUAAUUGGUCCAGUAUGUAUAGCAGCAGGGGCUGUGGGUGUAACAAUUGUAUUGAUGUCCUCAUCAUCCUCCCCUUCUUGAAAUGAAGUCGUCCUCGACGGAAGUUCAUCUUCCUCACCCAAAUAAGGCUUCAAAUCUGCAAUGUUAAAAGUGGGACUAACCCCAAAAUCUGCAGGCAGCUCAAGUUUAUAUGCAUUAUCAUUUAUUUUCUCUAGCACCUUAAAGGGACCAUCAGCACGUGGCAUUAACUUUGAUUUGCGCAAAUCAGGAAAUCUAUCCUUACGCAAAUGUAACCAAACAAGAUCUCCAGGUGCAAACACAACAUGUUUUCUACCCUUAUCUCCAGCAAGUUUAUAUUUAGCAUUCAUGCGCUCAAUGUUUUCCUUAGUUAACUCAUGCAUUUUUAAAAUCAAUUCAGCACGUUGUUUAGCAUCAAAAUUAACCUUCUCCGAAGAUGGAAGAGGCAACAAAUCAAUAGGUGCACGAGGUAGGAAACCAUACACAACUUCAAAAGGGCACAUCUUAGUAGUAGAAUGCAUUGAACGAUUAUAAGCAAAUUCAAUAUGAGGCAAGCAUUCCUCCCACAUUUUCUUAUUAUUCUUCAAAACAGCCCUAAGCAUAGUAGACAACGUUCUAUUGACUACUUCAGUUUGUCCAUCAGUUUGGGGGUGACAAGUAGUACUAAAAAGCAGUUUAGUCCCCAACUUAGCCCAUAAACAUCUCCAAAAGUGGCUAAGAAAUUUAGUAUCACGAUCUGAAACAAUAGUAUUUGGCACACCAUGCAAGCGAAUAAUUUCACGAAAGAACAAAUCAGCAACAUUAACAGCAUCAUCGCUUUAGUUAACCACAAAUCGUCCAAUGAAAGCACGUAAAACUUCGUUCAUUAAUCUCAUGAAAGUACUAGGUGCAUUAGUUAACCCAAAAGGCAUGACUAACCACUCAUAUAAUCCAAACUUAGUUUUGAAUGCUGUUUUCCAUUCAUCUCCCAAUUUCAUACGAAUUUGAUGGUAUCCACUACGUAAAUCAACUUUGGAGAAUAUUGUAGAGCCACUCAAUUCAUCAAGCAUAUCAUCUAGCCUAGGAAUAGGAUGACGAUAACGAAUAGUAAUAUUAUUAAUGCCUCUACAAUCAACACACAUACGUGAUGUACCAUCCUUUUUCGGCACUAGAAUAAUAGGAACAGCACAAGGACUAAGGGAUUCGCGUAUAUAACCUUUGUCGAGAAGCUCUUGUACUUGACGCAUAAUCUCCUUCGUCUCCUCUGGAUUGGUACGGUAUGGUGCACUGCUUGGCAGUGAAGCACCGGGAAUUAAGUCAAUCUGAUGCUCAAUCCCUCGAAUAGGCGGUAAUCCCGGUGGCACGUCUUGUGGAAAGACGUCAGCGAACUCCUGCAAAAUGUUAGUGACAGCAGGAGGCAAAGAGGAAGGCACGUCCUCGAAUGAAAAUAAUGCCUCUUUGCACACAAAAGCAUAGCAAACAGAUUUGCUGAAAUCUAGCUCAUCAAUAUCAGAUUUGGUGGCAAAUAAACAUGCACUUUUCAAUUUAAUUUCAGAAGCAACACUAGAUGGUUUAUUAUUAGGCUUCAUUUGUUGCUCAAAUUCUUUUGCCACAAUCUGAUUUUCACUCUUAUUCUUCUCCUGUUGUGCUUUAUUAGCUCUAUUAAUAUCAUCUUUCAAAAUGGAAUCAGGAGUCAUAGGAAGCAAAGUAAUAUUUUUAUCCUUAUGAACAAGAGUAUAGUGAUUGUUUCUACCAUGGUGUACAGAAUUUUUAUCUAAUUGCCAUGGUCUACCAAGUAAUAAGGAACAUGCUUGCAUAGGUACCACAUCACAAUCAACAUAAUCAGCAUAUGUAGAGAUACUAAAAUGCACACGAACAGUACGUGUUACCUUAACCUUGCCGCUGUUGUUGAACCAUUGGAUGUAGUAAGGAUGUGGAUGUGGUCUUGUGGUGAGAGAAAGCUUCUCCACCAUCUCCAUGCUAGCCAAGUUGUUGCAGCUCCCUCCGUCUAUGAUGACGCGCACAGAACAUUCCUUCACAACUCCCUUGGUAUGGAACAAAUUGUGCCCCUGAUUUUGCUCAGCUUGUGUGAUCGGCACACACAAAACACGUUGAGCAACUAAACAUUCAUACCUGUCAGCGUCUUCAGGAGCCAUGUAUUGCGUCUCAUGAUCAGAAUCAUCUCUACCAUGUUCUUCACGUGUCAUAAGAGCCAAAGUCUCCUCAUCAUAGUCACUAGCAGACUCAUAUCCACCAUCCGCGGUAGCAAUCAUCACACGCGGAGAUUUGCAUUCUCUCGCAUAAUGACCUCCUCCCUUACAACGACGACAAAUAAUAUCACUUGUGUGCCCUGUUGAUGCCAUGGAAGAAGAAGAACGCUUUGCAGGCCCCGCAGGUGCGCUCUUGGCAGAUAAUGGUGGUUGUGCCUGCUUUCUUGUAUCACGGCUGGAGGUGGCACCGGAUGGAGGUGCUGGUGCAGUUGAAGUAGAAGAUGCACGUGGUGUCCAUGAUGAAGGUCGGCCUGCAGAAAAGUUAGUUCGCCCCAAUGCUUGUCGAUCCUGCACUUCACGUUCAGCUUUACAAGCAAGAUGGUAUAAACGAGUCAUAUUAGUAUACUCCUUAUAGUCUAGAAUGGUCUGAAUCUCUCUAUUUAAUCCACCCAGAAAACGUGCAAGCAUAGCUUCAUUCUCCUCAACAAUACCACAUCUAAUCAUGCCAGUUUGUAAUUCCUGAUAAUAUUCUUCUACAGAAUUUUUCCCUUGUCUUAAACGCUGUAAUUUUUGAAGCAAUUCACGUUGAUAAUAUGGUGGAACCCAACGCGUACGCAUAGCAGUUUUCAAAGCAGCCCAAGUAGUUGGAAUAGGAUAUAAUCUACAAUGUUCAGACCACCAUACACAUUGAUAGAGGCUGAUAGAGGCGGGGUGUCCCGAUCUUUCGAUGAGAUGGUAACUAUCGAUUUGGUGGAGACGACUUUGACGAUCCGACUACAAACGUGCACGACGUUGCGCCUUAGCAAUCGCUAAACCAAUCUCCAGAGGUUAUUGACCACGCCGGUGCACGAUCAACCUGACCACGAAGGUCUAUUCCUGCAAGCAAUCGAAGAACGAGCAAGAAUAUGAUAAAAGCAAUCUGAAUAUUGCAAAUAUGUAUGAAGUAUUGAUAAAGGUGGGGAUCCGAAAGCGGUCUUGGUCUGGUCGUUGGACACAAACGAAGUACACGAAGUUGCGUUGGCUAACUUUUAACUAAACAAAUCCCAAGGAAAAGCUACUAGAUGGAUCUACUUAUAUAGGAGCAAGGGGUGGCGGCCAAGGAGGUGGGAGGACGUCCCAAGGCAGCCUAAAACUAAAUCUAGGUCGUACAAGGCCAAUGGGCCCAAGUGGAGGUGAUGUAACACCUUUGGACUUGUAGUUUGACUCGGAUUCUGCUGCAGCAUCAGAUUGUUUUGUCCACAACUCAACGCUCCGGACGAAUUUGAUGGUGAUUCCAAUUGGGUUGGAAAGUGCACGAAAUCUAGUUUCCAACAAAAAAAGAAUCACCCAAUUCGGAGUCCGUAUGAAAAACUUGUGUGCGUUUUGAGUCAGGUGUGUCUGUGCAGUCCGAAUCUGAAUCCAGAACGUGAGAGACUUGGACUCUAUCUUCUCUUGGGCCAAAAGUGACGUGAGAGAACUUUUUGGACAGCAAAUAAACAUCUCUUUCUUCCUUAUCUUCAUAUGUGGAUUGUACAAAUGUCCCAUACACCUGCAAUUAGACAAAACACAAAAGUGUGUGAAGUAUUUUUGUUCUGGAUAACAUAAAUAGAUUAUUGAAUAGUUUGCACUAGAAAUCACCUGACAAAUAUGCAUAUAUGCAAUAUUUUUGGUCAUAUCCAAGGUAGUCAUGUCCUCAUCAUAAAGUGUGCCAUUUUCGAGAAUCUAUCCACGACAACAGAUAUGCUAUCCCUCCCCUUCUUUGUUCGAGGUAAACCUAAAACAAAGUCCAUAGAUAUAUCCUCCCAAGGAACACUAGGUACAGGCAAAGGCAUAUAUAAACCAUGAGGAUUGAGUCGUGACUUCGCUUUUUGACAUGUAGUGCAUUGAGCAAUAAAACGCUCAACAUCCCGUCUCAUCUUUGGCCAAAAGAAAUGUGUAGCAAGUACGUCCUCCGUCUUCUUCACACCAAAGUGUCCCAUUAAUCCUCCUCCAUGCGCCUCCUGCAACAACAAAAGACGAACGGAGCUAGCUGGAAUGCAUAGCUUGUUAGCACGAAACACAAAUCCAUCGUUAACGACAAACUUGUUCCACAUUCUUCCUUCUUUACAAUUCUGCAUUACAUCUUUAAAAUCAGCAUCAUGCACAUAUUGAUCUUUGAUGGUCUCCAAACCAAAUAUUUUGAAGUCAAGUUGUGAAAGCAUAGUAUAGCGGCGAGACAAUGCAUCAGCAAUAACAUUUUCUUUUCCCUUCUUGUGUUUAAUGACAUAAGGAAAAGUCUCAAUGAAUUCAACCCAUUUAGCAUGUCUACGAUUCAGUUUAUCUUGACUUUUAAUAUGUUUCAAAGAUUCAUGAUCAGAAUGUAUAACAAAUUCUUUGGGCCAUAAAUAAUGUUGCCAUGUUUCUAAAGUCCGAACAAGAGCAUAUAAUUCUUUAUCAUAAGUAGAAUAAUUCAGACUAGGCCCACUCAAUUUUUCAGAAAAGUAUGCAACAGGUUUGCCAUCUUGUAAUAACACACCUCCUAAUCCAAUUCCACUAGCAUCACAUUCAAGCUCAAAAGUCUUAUUAAAAUCAGGAAGUUGGAGUAAAGGAGCAUGUGUCAACUUAUCUUUCAAUACCGUGAAGGCUUCUUCCUGUGCGGUACCCCAAAGAAAAGACACAUCUUUCUUUGUAAGCUCAUUGAGAGGUGCAGCAAUGGUGCUGAAAUCUCUCACAAAACGCCUAUAGUAUCCAGCGAGGCCAAGAAAACUCCUCACUUGUGUGACCGUUUUGGGCUGCGGCCAACUCUCAAUAGCUUCAAUCUUGGCUUUAUCAACUUCAAUUCCCUGUGGAGUAACAACAUAGCCAAGAAAAGAUACUUGGUCGGUGCAAAAGGUGCACUUCCCAAGGUUACCAAACAAACGUGCAUCACGUAGAGCAAUAAAAACAGCACGUAAAUGUUCCAAAUGUUCCUCCAAAGAUCUGCUAUAAAUCAAUAUGUCAUCAAAGUAAACUACCACAAAUCGUCCAAUGAAAGCACGUAAAACUUCGUUCAUUAAUCUCAUGAAAGUACUAGGUGCAUUAGUUAACCCAAAAGGCAUGACUAACCACUCAUAUAAUCCAAACUUAGUUUUAAAUGUUGUUUUCCAUUCAUCUCCCAAUUUCAUACGAAUUUGAUGGUAGCCACUACGCAAAUCAACUUUGGAGAAUAUUGUAGAGCCACUCAAUUCAUCAAGCAUAUCAUCUAGCCUAGGAAUAGGAUGACGAUAACGAAUAGUAAUAUUAUUAAUGCCUCUACAAUCAACACACAUACGUGAUGUACCAUCCUUUUUCGGCACUAGAAUAAUAGGAACAGCACAAGGACUAAUGGAUUCGCGUAUAUAACCUUUGUCGAGAAGCUCUUGUACUUGAUGCAUAAUCUCCUUCGUCUCCUCUGGAUUGGUACGGUAUGGUGCACGGUUUGGCAGUGAAGCACUGGGAAUUAAGUCAAUCUGAUGCUCAAUCCCUCGAAUAGGCGGUAAUCCCGGUGGCACGUCUUGUGGAAAAACGUCAGCGAACUCCUGCAAAAUGUUAGUGACAGCAGGAGGCAAAGAGGAAGGCACGUCCUCGAAUGAAAAUAAUGCCUCUUUGCACACAAAAGCAUAGCAAACAGAUUUGCUGAAAUCUAGCUCAUCAAUAUCAGAUUUGGUGGCAAAUAAACAUGCACUUUUUAAUUUAAUUUUAGAAGCAACACUAGAUGGUUUAUUAUUAGGCUUCAUUUGUUGCUCAAAUUCUUUUGCCACAAUCUGAUUUUCACUCUUAUUCUUCUCCUGUUGUGCUUUAUUAGCUCUAUUAAUAUCAUCUUUCAAAAUGGAAUCAGGAGUCAUAGGAAGCAAAGUAAUAUUUUUAUCCUUAUGAACAAGAGUAUAGUGAUUGUUUCUACCAUGGUGUACAGAGUUUUUAUCAAAUUGCCAUGGUCUACCAAGUAAUAAGGAACAUGCUUGCAUAGGUACCACAUCACAAUCAACAUAAUCAGCAUAUGUAGAGAUACUAAAAUGCACACGAACAGUACGUGUUACCUUAACCUUGCCGCUGUUGUUGAAUCAUUGGAUGUAGUAAGGAUGUGGAUGUGGUCUUGUGGUGAGAGAAAGCUUCUCCACCAUCUCCAUGCUAGCCAAGUUGUUGCAGCUCCCUCCGUCUAUUAUGACGCGCACAGAACGUUCCUUCACAACUCCCUUGGUAUGGAACAAAUUGUGCCUCUGAUUUUGCUCAGCUUGUGUGACCUGCACACUUAAAACACGUUGAGCAACUAAACAUUCAUACCUGUCAGCAUCUUCAGGAGCCAUGUAUUGCGUCUCAUGAUCAGAAUCAUCUCCACCAUGUUCUUCACGUGUAAUAAGGGCCAAUGUCUCCUCAUCAUAGUCACUAGCGGACUCAUAUCCACCAUCCGCGGUAGCAAUCAUCACACGCGGAGAUUUGCAUUCCCUCGCAUAAUCACCUCCUCCCUUACAACGACGACAAAUAAUAUCACUUGUGUGCCCUGUUGAUGCCAUGGAAGAAGAAGAACGCUGUGCAGGCCCCGUAGGUGCGCUCUUGGCAGAUAAUGGUGAUUGUGCCUGUUUUCUUGUAUCACGGCUGGAGGUGGCACCGAAUGGAGGUGCUGGUGCAGUUGAAGUAGAAGAUGCACGUGGUGUCCAUGAUGAAGGUCGGCCUGCAGAAAAGUUAGUUUGCCCCAAUGCUUGUCGAUCCUGCACUUCACGUUCAGCUUUACAAGCAAGAUGGAAUAAACGAGUGAUAUUAGUAUACUCCUUAUAGUCUAGAAUGGUCUGAAUCUCUCUAUUUAAUCCACCCAGAAAACGUGCAAGCAUAGCUUCAUUCUCCUCAACAAUACCACAUCUAAUCAUGCCAGUUUGUAAUUCCUGAUAAUAUUCUUCUACAUAAUUUUUCCCUUGUCUUAAACGCUGCAAUUUUUGAAGCAAUUCACGUUGAUAAUAUGGUGGAACCCAACGCGUACGCAUAGCAGUUUUCAAAGCAGCCCAAGUAGUUGGAAUAGGAUAUAAUCUACAAUGUUCAGACCACCAUACACAUGCAAAACUANNNNNNNNNNNNNNNNNNNNNNNNNNNNNNNNNNNNNNNNNNNNNNNNNNNNNNNNNNNNNNNNNNNNNNNNNNNNNNNNNNNNNNNNNNNNNNNNNNNNNNNNNNNNNNNNNNNNNNNNNNNNNNNNNNNNNNNNNNNNNNNNNNNNNNNNNNNNNNNNNNNNNNNNNNNNNNNNNNNNNNNNNNNNNNNNNNNNNNNNNNNNNNNNNNNNNNNNNNNNNNNNNNNNNNNNNNNNNNNNNNNNNNNNNNNNNNNNNNNNNNNNNNNNNNNNNNNNNNNNNNNNNNNNNNNNNNNNNNNNNNNNNNNNNNNNNNNNNNNNNNNNNNNNNNNNNNNNNNNNNNNNNNNNNNNNNNNNNNNNNNNNNNNNNNNNNNNNNNNNNNNNNNNNNNNNNNNNNNNNNNNNNNNNNNNNNNNNNNNNNNNNNNNNNNNNNNNNNNNNNNNNNNNNNNNNNNNNNNNNNNNNNNNNNNNNNNNNNNNNNNNNNNNNNNNNNNNNNNNNNNNNNNNNNNNNNNNNNNNNNNNNNNNNNNNNNNNNNNNNNNNNNNNNNNNNNNNNNNNNNNNNNNNNNNNNNNNNNNNNNNNNNNNNNNNNNNNNNNNNNNNNNNNNNNNNNNNNNNNNNNNNNNNNNNNNNNNNNNNNNNNNNNNNNNNNNNNNNNNNNNNNNNNNNNNNNNNNNNNNNNNNNNNNNNNNNNNNNNNNNNNNNNNNNNNNNNNNNNNNNNNNNNNNNNNNNNNNNNNNNNNNNNNNNNNNNNNNNNNNNNNNNNNNNNNNNNNNNNNNNNNNNNNNNNNNNNNNNNNNNNNNNNNNNNNNNNNNNNNNNNNNNNNNNNNNNNNNNNNNNNNNNNNNNNNNNNNNNNNNNNNNNNNNNNNNNNNNNNNNNNNNNNNNNNNNNNNNNNNNNNNNNNNNNNNNNNNNNNNNNNNNNNNNNNNNNNNNNNNNNNNNNNNNNNNNNNNNNNNNNNNNNNNNNNNNNNNNNNNNNNNNNNNNNNNNNNNNNNNNNNNNNNNNNNNNNNNNNNNNNNNNNNNNNNNNNNNNNNNNNNNNNNNNNNNNNNNNNNNNNNNNNNNNNNNNNNNNNNNNNNNNNNNNNNNNNNNNNNNNNNNNNNNNNNNNNNNNNNNNNNNNNNNNNNNNNNNNNNNNNNNNNNNNNNNNNNNNNNNNNNNNNNNNNNNNNNNNNNNNNNNNNNNNNNNNNNNNNNNNNNNNNNNNNNNNNNNNNNNNNNNNNNNNNNUAUAAUGGCGAGUGUCUCAAAACUCUUCCUAGUCAAACUGACAGGAUGGGCACGAAAAAAAAAAUUCGACCAAUUUUUUUUUUCGACUGCCCGGACCCAAAAACUGGAAACGGGUCAAAAAAAAACUUCCUAUAAUGGCACCUGUCUCAAAACACUCAGAAACACCUAAAAAUAGGAUACCCAGAAAUUUUUUCGAAAAAUGCGUUUUCGAAAAUUUUUGGGCCUAAACGGAGCGUGGUUUCCCGACUCUUUUUUUUCCGAAACCUACUCCGGCAAGGAAACACGAAUCGGAAACUAGAUGGAUCUAGAAAACAAACCUAAUAAGCGAGGAACUCGGAUUGGUGGUGGAUAUAUGGUGGUGGUAUAUGGCAGCGGUGGUGGUAGCGGUGGUAGUAUAUGGAUAUGGACCGGUGGUCGUAUAUGGACACGGAUUGGUGGUGGUAUAUGGAUACGGAUUCGGAGCGGUGGUGGUAGAUGGCAGGGGCGAUGAUGAUGGUGCGGCGGCGGCGCGACAACUUAUGACCAGAACUCGAAACUCUAAAAGACUAGACUCUAAGACCAGCAACUAGACCGACGAUGCAACCGCAAAUUCAACAAAGCAAAACCCUAAAAAGAUUAUGCAAAGGCUCAGAUUGGUUCGAAUAUGAUGAACUAACCCUAAUUUUUUUUGUGGCUUUUUCGUGGACUGUAGGUAUGAAGAACAGACUCGAUCUAAACUACGAAAAACUAUAAAAUCUCACCGAGCAACCUGGAAAUCUGAUACCACUUGAUAAAGGCAAACGUGUCCCGUCUUUCGAUGAGAUGAUGGAUAUCGCUUUGGUGGAAGUCGACUUUGACGAUCCGACUACGAACGUGCGAGGACGUCGCGCCUUAGCAAUCGCUAAACCAACUCCGAGAGGUUAUUGACCACGUCGGAGCACGAUCAACCUGACCACGAGAGUCUGUUUCCUACGAGCAAACGAAGAACAAGCAAGAAACUGAGAUUGCAAUCUGGAUAUUGCGAAUAUAAGAUGAAAGCUUUAUUGAUCAAGGUGGGGUUCUGUGACGCCUUUGUCUGGUCGUUGAACACAAACGAAGUACGCGAAGUUGCAGCUAUGGCGAACUUUUAAUCUAAACAAACCCCAAAGUCUAAACGAUGCCUAAGGGCUGUAUAUAUGGAGGAAGAGGGGGGAAUUUCGUGGCCCUUGGUGGAGGGGUCCGAAAUCAACCCUAUCUCUUGUUUCCCCACACAUACGGACUCUAAAAAUAGCCUAUACUUAUGUAUUUCGAAAUUACAUGGGCCUGGCCCAAUAAUAAGGUGACGCAGCACCUAAAAUAGCCUCGGGACGAAAUUUAUGAAGUGGCAUCUUGUAUAUUUCGUCCAAGGCUUCAUGCACCCAUUAUGGUGGCUUCAAAGUCCUGAAAUCAUCACUUGUAACUCCGUUCUUGUUUCCCUUGCGCAUGCCAUCAUCUCCAUGCUUGUUCUUGCUCCAAUGUUCAUCCUUCUCCCAGCUAGGCCCUUCAUUUGUAAGCAAAACAAAUGUAUCCAAUUUAGGCAGCAUCAUAUUCUCAUGAACAUUAGAAUCAUUACCAAGAAACGAAAGUACCUGGUAAUUUAGUUGGCGUGCACGAGCUCUAGUAAUUGGUCCAGUAUGUAUAGUAGCAGGGGCUGUGGGUGUAACAAUUGUAUUGAUGUCCUCAUCACAUUUGCGUAAGGAUAGAUUUCCUGAUUUGCGCAAAUCAAAGCUAAUGCCACGUGCUGAUGGUCCCUUUAAGGUGUUAGAGAAAAUAAAUGAGAAUGCAUAUAAACUUGAGCUGCCUGCAGAUUUUGGGGUUAGUCCCACUUUUAACAUUGCAGAUUUGAAGCCUUAUUUGGGCGAGGAAGAUGAGUUUCCGUUGAGGACGACUUCAUUUCAAGAAGGGGAGGAUGAUGAGGACAUCAAUACCAUUGUUACACCCACCGCCCCUACUGCUACAUAUACGGGACCAAUUACUAGAGCUCGCGCACGCCAAUUAAAUUAUCAGGUACUUUCGUUUCUUGGUAAUGAUUCUAAUGUUCAUGAGAAUAUGAUGCUGCCUAAAUUGGAUACAUUUGUUUUGCUUACAAAUUAAGGGGCCUAGCUUGGAGAAGGAUGAACAUUGGAGCAAGAACAAGCAUGGAGAUGAUGCCAUGCGCAAGGGGAACAAGAACGGAGUUACAAGUGAUGAUUUCAGGACAUUGAAGCCACCAUAAUGGGUGCAUGAAGCCAUGGACGAAAUAUACAAGAUGCCACUUCAUAAAUUUCGUCCCGAGGCUAUUAUAGGUGCUGCGUCACCUUUUUAUUGGGCCAGGCCCAUGUAAUUUCGAAAUACAUAAGUAUAGGCUAUUUUUAGAGUCCGUAUGUGUGGGGAAACAAGAGAUAGGGUUGAUUUCGGACCCCUCCACCAAGGGCCACGAAAUUCCCCCUCUCUUCCUCCAUAUAUACAGCCCUUAGGGCACCGUUUAGACUUUGGGUUUUGUUUAGAUUAAAAAGUUCGCCAUAGCUGCAACUUCGCGUACUUCGUUUGUGUUCAACGACCAGACAAAGGCGUCACAGAACCCCACCUUGAUCAAUAAAGCUUUCAUCUUAUAUUCGCAAUAUCCAGAUUGCAAUCUUAGUUUCUUGCUUGUUCUUCGUUUGCUCGCAGGAAACAGACCCUCGUGGUCAGGUUGAUCGUGCUCCGGUGUGGUCAAUAACCUCUCGGAGUUGGUUUAGCGAUUGCUAAGGCGCGACGUCCUCGCACGUUCGUAGUCGGAUCAUCAAAGUGGACUUCCACCAAAGCGAUAUCCAUCAUCUCAUCGAAAGACGGGACACCUUUGCCUCUAUCAGAAGGGAGAUUGAGUUUGGAAGGCAUUAAAUCUGAUUGCUUCGGGUUCCCAGAAAUCUGCAUGUUAUUCGCCACAAAAGGAAACUAUUCUAUUUGGAAAGUUGUGUUGCUAAGGAAGGAAGGGACCAACCGCAAAAAAAA
rnacentral:lncRNA from 1 species